UACGGGGGGAGCAAGCGUUGUUCGGAUUUACUGGGCGUAAAGGGCGCGUAGGCGGCCACUGCAAGUCAGUUGUGAAAUCUCCGGGCUUAACCCGGAAAGGUCAACUGAUACUGCAGGGCUAGAGUGCAGAAGGGGCAACUGGAAUUCUCGGUGUAGCGGUGAAAUGCGCAGAGUAUCAGGAGGAACACCGAUGGCGAAGGCAGGUCUCGUGGGCAUUAACUGACGCUGAGGAGCGGAAAGCAUGGGGAGCGAACAGG
rnacentral:rRNA from 1 species